rnacentral:lncRNA from 1 species
CCCUCCCCACGCCGACUCUCUCUCCUUUUCCUUUGCCGUUUCCUACUUUGCUUUCUCUUCCCCAUUUGACUUUUCAACCAUUAUCUCUUCUUCUCUCUCCUCUCUCUUCUCCCCCGCUCCCCCAUGUGACCUUCUUCUUCUUCUUCUACGUUCUUCUUUGUGCGAACCAGACCAAAACCAGCAAAGAAGAGCAACAGCUCACCGAGGACCACCGUCACCCGUCCCGCCGCCGCACCGGAGCCGAACCGCCCGCGCGCCCGCUGCUCGUCGCCGUGCGCCGCCAGCCUCGUUCCUCGCGCGACCCAGCCCUGUUCGCCUCUGCCAGCCCCCGUUUCGCCGUCGUCCAACCGCCGCUCGCCGCCGUCCCGACCCCCCGGCGUCCCCCUCACCCUCCGCCGGCCUUCCCUCGCCGUUGUAGUCGCCAGAGCAGCCUCGGCCAGCCCCGACCAGCAACCCACGAAAUGGGUUUCCAGCAGCUUUAGGCCCGCUUUUGAGCCGUUUCCAGGCUCCGAACCCGAGCCGUGCUUUGGAGUUUGUUGUUCCUCGCGUCGCCCCCGUCAGAUUGAUCCGAUCUGCGCGCGAUUUGGUGAGUAAUCUCACUAAUAUAAGAUUAGUUGGCUAAUUAUGCUUAAGGUUGGUUUAGUUUUAAUUAAUUAUGUUUAGGUUGUUAGAUUAGAAUAAAUUAGUAAUUAUUAGUCAAUUGUGAUGCGAUUUAGAUAAAUUGAUUGUGUAAUUAGCAAGUAGACGUGGUCUACUAAUUAUUGAAAGCAUCUCAGGAUUUUUCCCGACCCUUCGUGGGCUUCAAUUAGGCUUUUUGGGCCUAAGUGGAUUUUUAGUAUUUAAAUAUUAAUUUUCGGAAUUAAAUUAAAUAAUUAUUUAUUUUCCGAAAAUUCAACUGAGAUGGUCCGGAACCAGAAUUUUAUGCUAGUGAUCGUGGUGAAGUCUGUUUAUUUAACUGAGCACCAAUUUGAGCUAAAUUGGAUUUAUUAUAAUUAAUUAUUAAUUCUCGAAAUUAAUUAAUUAAUUAAUUAUUUUCCGGAAAUUCAACUCGGAUGGCCUGUGACCGAAUUUUUAUGCUGAUGAUCAUGGUGUAGUUCGUUUAUUUAAUUGAGCUUUAUUUUGAGCUAAAUUGGAUUUAUUGUAAUUAAUUAUUAAUCUUUGAAAUUAAUUAAUUAAUUAAUUACUUUUCGGAAAUUAAGACUGAGAUGGCCAACGAUCGAAAUCUCAUGCUGAUCAUCGUGGUGCAGUCUGUUUAUUUAAUUGAGCUGCAAUUUGUAUGGAAUUGAUUUAAUUAUGAAUUUUUAUGAGUUAUUCAUAUUGACUUGAUGGUUAAUUAUUUGAUUGAGCAAUCGUUGGGUAUUGGUUAUCACCUAAAAGGAAAUACGUGGGCUCGGUGAAUGGGAAUUCACCUAGAGAAUGCACGUGUAUUCAGUGGUUGAAUAUGUCAUCUUGGCGAAGAGGUUGCCUUAGAGAAUGCUCGUAAAUUGUUGAAAGUUGAUCAUGCCUGUGUGGCGAUAGUUGAUCAUGCAUGUGUGGCGAUAAGUGAUCAUGCCUGUGUGGCGAUAGUUGAUCAUGCCUGUGUGGCGUAGAUUGUGCCUACGUGGCCGUAUUUCUGUGUAUUGAGUAUCGAAAGUGGUCGAGUGGGACCAUAAAGCCAUUGAGUAUCGAAAGUGGUCGAGUGGGACUGUAAAGCCGAUUAUCGAAAGUGAUCGAGUGGGACCGUAAAGCCAUUGAGUAUCGAAAGUGGUCGAGUGGGACCGUAAAGCCAUUGAGUAUCGAAAGUGGUCGAGUGGGACCGUAAAGCCAUUGAUUAUCGAAAGUGGUCGAGUGGGACCGUAAAGCCAUUGAGUAUCGAAAGUGGUCGAGUGGGACCGUAAAGCCAUUGAGUAUCGAAAGUGGUCGAGUGGUGGACUGUGUCUUCCACCUUUGCUUACGAUGUGAUAUGAGGAUCGUAGUUCGUAAUUGAUGAUUGAGAUGGAAUAAUCGAAUUGACCUAGAAUGGUCCGUCUGACAUGUAAUCGACGAGGUCGAUUGAUCAUUGCUUUGAUUUGAUGUUGUGAAUUGAUUGACUGAAUGGAAAUGACCGUGAGUGGUCUUGUUGGCAUUUAACUAGGUCGAUUUGAUCGAUACUUUGAUCGAUGAUAUGAUUGCUUGGGUGCCUAUUAUAAAUUGUACUGACUUGCAGGUGGGAUUUGAGGCCAAGAUAAGUUCUCUGCCCUGUGCGUGUUUAGGCAGCCUAUAGUAUAAUGGUUUACUAAUCGGGCUUAGUGGGGUAGAACUCGCUGAGACGUAGUCUCAUCCCAGUUUGGGGAAAAAAAUUUCAGGACCCCGAUGAGGAGUUGAGGAGGAGAAGUCUGGGAAGGAGAUCUUGGAGGUGAAACUUGAGAGGAAGGAUUUUGAAAGAAGAAGAUAAUACCGAGAUAGGCCUUGAGUAUGGCCUGGAUGGAUUGAGAUCCUAUCUUCUUUUGAGAUCUCCAUUUUGAUGUGAAUAGUUAUGAAGUGAUUUGUGUUUUGUAUAAAAGUUUGGUUAUAAAUUUCAAUAUGAAAAAUAUGGCCCUACUUUUCUAUUCCAGCGUUUUAUUGUCUGGGGAUUUUAACUGCUUCCGCAUGUGCUUAAUAAAUGAAAGGGUCAGCGAUACAUUGUCCUGAGAUAUCGCAUUAUAAAAUCGACCAAGCCAGAAGGAUGUGUGCGUGCCCAAGGAUCAGGGCGUGACAGGAGGUGUUCCCCUCUGACCAUGUGCUCGACUUUGCACCUGAAUACUAGGAUCGGUACUUGGAGCUAAUGAAGCUAAAAGUUAACCUUGACCUUUCUUACCCUUUUUGCUAAUAGGUCACAUAAGAGUUACCUUUUGUUGUAGGCAUGUACAUGUUAAACUCCUUAGGUUAAUAAGUUGAUAAAUAAAUCACUGCUUUUGGAAAUCAUAUGUUGUGUUUUACUAUCCCAGUUUUGUUGAUUGACUAGGUGUUUAUUUGAGUUGUUUCCACAUGUGUUUAAUCGAAAGAUUAAAAAAAAAAAAAAAAGGUCUACAACGCGUGUUGGAACAUCGCAAUUCAAUUGACCAUCGAGGGAUGUUUGCGCGCUCGGGGUUCGGGGCAUGACAUCCCUGUUUAAGUGGUAUUAGAGCUUGGUCAAAGUUUAGAGUGAUAAGGUGCAAUGGGUUUUGGGGUAGAUAGAUAGGAAAAACGGUUUUUCCUUAUACUUAUGCUUGUGAUUGAUUAAUUGUUUGGUGCGGGUUGCUCAGAUUUCUACUUCCUUGUUGGAAUUGGAAAGUAGGUUUCUAUAAGGACCUUGUGAGAUGAGUGAUCCUGAGCAGAGAGCCCCUUAAAGAAGGGCCGUAAAGGCUCUGACAAGUGCUGAGGGAAGGGCACCAAGAUGGGCUGGUACUAGAGGGAGAGCGCCGGUGUAGGUGUGUGCUAAAAGGAGGGCACCAAUUGAUCCUAGGGUUGACUGGAUCUUGUAAGCCCUAGAGACCUUGGGGAACGUGGUUGGGCAGUAAGCUUAGAAUCAAGCCAUCGUCCCCGCCGUUGCCGCUACUGCCGCCAAUGUUGUUGCUACCGCUACUGCACCUAUUGAAGUCCCACCUAAAAAUGGGAGUGGUGAGCGGCCUAUGCACAAGCUAGUGGAGUAGUUUCUGAGGCUAAAGCCUCUAAAGUUUACUGGAGCAAAUGAGUCCGAGGCAACAACCCUUUAGGUUCGAGAGUUGGAGAAGCCUUUUGCACUAUUGAGGUACUCAGAGGAGGACAAGGUGACCCUAUCCAUAUAUUUGCUGCUGGGUAAUGCAAGCACGUGGUGAGAAACCACUGAAGGAAGAGUGUUUCCUAAGAGUAUGGUUUCAGAGUAGGAUGCCUUCGUCGAAGUGUUUUAUAGGAAAUAUUUCUUAGACUGUGCUCGAGAACAGAAGAUGGCUAAGUUUCAACAUCUUUGCCAGAACCAGAUAACUGUAGAUUAGUAUGAGGCGAAGUUUGUCGAGUUGUCGGAGUACACACCAAGGUUAAUUGAGGACCCGAUGGAUAGAAUUAGAAGGUUUAGAGAUGGCUUGAAGCCAGAGAUUAAGGACCCGCUGGUGCCGUUUAAGCUCAAGGACUAUGACGAACUGUAUGAAAGGGUCUAACUGAUUGAAAGGAAUCUGAAUGAGUGGGUAGCCAGAUCUAGGUUGCGGUUUGUGCCCAACAGAGAUAACAAUCGAUUAGGGAAGAGGCCAAUGAUGGGAGGAAAGUAUCCCAUCCCUCCCAACUGAAAGGGUAGAAUGGGAAAGUGGGCAUCCAACUUGAAUGGCGUGUGCCGAUUUUGUGGAAGGAAACAUGGAUCAACCUGUGUUCUGCUAGAUUGGGAGCUUGCUAUGGAUGUGGCCAGCACAGCUAUCAAGUGAAGAAUUGCUCGCGCGGGCGCAUGGGAGCGUAGGCUGCACUACCACAGAUAGGAUAGGCAACAAGGAGUGUGUCGCAAAACACGCAACAAAGCAUUUUGAGCAGGCCUCUAUGCAAGGAAGAGUGUAUGCUGUCACCCAAAAGGAGGCGGAGAACUCAUAGAACGUGGUUAUAGGUACGGUCUUGUUGAACGACCGUGCUGCUUAUGCUUUAUUUGAUCCUGGAGCCACACAUUCAUUUAUUGCUAAGUAGUUCAUUAAGUUAGUGGGAAGCGGUCAUUAGUAUAUCCACCUCGUUAAAGGAUAAAGUGUUGUAUGCGAUAAGGUGUCUUGGUUGCAAGUCAGUAAUUAGUGAUCGAGAGGAAAGAAUAGAUUUGAUUGUGCUGGUGAUGUUUGAUUUCGAUGUUAUUAUUGGUAUGGAUUGGCUCACCAAGCAACAGGCUACCAUAGAUUGUUAUCGUAAAGCGAUUCAAUUUAACUCGUUAGCAGGUAAAAGUUUCAAGUUUGUUGGAAAUCAAGGAGGACUCUCGAUUGCUUUAAUUUCGUCACUUGAGGCAAUCCGGUUGUUGGAUGUGGGUUGUUAAGGUUAUUUGGCAACAGUGGUUGAUACGUCAAUUGAGGAGUCAAGGAUAGAGGACAUUGUCGUGAUGCGGGAAAUUUCUAACGUUUUUCCUAAAGAGUUGCUUAGUUUGCCUCUAGAAAGGGGGAUAGAGUUCAUGAUUGAGUUGGCCCCUGGGAUAGAGCCAAUUUCUAAGGCUCCUUAUUGUAUGGCGCUAUCAGAGUUAAAGGAGUUAAAGGUACAGAUGCAGGAAUUGUUGGACAAAGGAUUUAUUCAUCCUAGUGCAUCGCCAUGGGGAGUGCCAGUUUUGUUUGUAAGGAAGAAAGAUGGUUCGUUGUGUUUUUGCAUCGACUAUUGACAAUUGAAUCAAGUGACGAUCAAGAAAAAGUAUCCGUUACCAAGGAUUGAUGACUUAUUUGAUCAACUACAGGGAGCUUCGAUAUUUUCCAAGAUUAACCUAAGGAUAGGUUACCAACAAUUGAGGAUUAAGAAGGAGGAUAUACCGAAGACAAGCUAGAUUCAGUCAGCAUCCAGAACGCGUCAAUAAAAGUCACUCAAAUCUAGCAGCAAAGCCACCAAUCACUUGCAAGUUGCAACAGGCAUCACAACUUGAUCCACUCGGUAAAGAUCCCACUAGCAAAGGUGAAGUAGGUACUAGUUGCCAUCAAAAAUUGAUAACUAGAACAAUUUCAUCAAGUUCAUCAGCACACACCUGACAUUAGAUGUUGGUCGCAUCCAAAGCGGUGGUGGCGAGAGUAAUGAUGUCGGGGUGGUGAAGAUAUGAGGUUUUGUGUAUGUAUUUAGUGAUGUCAAGGUGCAAUGACAACCUUGCCAUAGAAAUCUAGUAAUCAAUUUGAUUAUAGGCGAAAUAUGUACGUCAGCAUACGUAAAAACACUCAAUUUUGGUAAAAAUAGUUAGCUAACUCUCUCUCCUCUUUGCUUUGCACAAGUCACUUAGCCCUUUCAAUGACCCCCAAAUUAAAAACAUUAGGGUAAAGAAGAGAGUUAUAAGCAUAUUCUUCCAUUUUUUUUUAAUGGGGAUAGUACUCUAAAUUUCCAUUUCAAAUACACUUUCUUGGGAGAAGAAUAAUACAAGUGCCAUAACUUUUAUACGGCACUUACUUGAGUGUAAUAACUUUAUUUUUCACUCACUUAAAUGUCACAUUGGAGAAAAAUCGAUCAUUUAAGUGACAUUUCCGGCAAAUCGUCCUUCAUGGAUUUUUUUAUUAUUAAUUUCCCAUUUUUACAUGGAUAUUUUUAAUUUUUUUAUUAAAUAGAUUUAGGGGUAUUGCCUAAAGAACGGAUAAGACCCAUGAUUAGGCACGGGCUCUCCCAAGCCCAUAUCUCAUGCGACAUUGGGGUGUUCUUAAGAAUUUCGCAAUAAAGAGUCGCUACUAACUUAUUGUGGUCGGUUAGAAAUCAAAUGAGGCAUGAGAGUACACCUUAUUUCUUACGCAAUCAAAAAAUUUAAGGUUAGGAACUUGAUUACACUAAUUAACCAAUUAAUGUUGUUUCGGUACCUAAUCUUGUUCAUUUAAAAAAAAAAGUUAUGGCAUGAACGUCUUCCCCAUUUUGUCCUUUUUAAUUUCCUUUUCUUUUCUUUUCCUUUCCUUUUCUUCUUACCCUUCACUCACUUGAAUUUAUAGUAUUCAAGUGAGCGAAAGAAAGUUAUAAAGGUUAUGGCACUUGUGCUGUUAUUAUCCAAUUUUCAAGGCCACAGAAAACAAUGAGAGUAAGUGAAGUAUUAGGUGACAAUGGCAAGUGGAAAUGAAAAUGAGUUUGCUAUUUUCUUGAAGUGAAAAUUGCAAGACAAUGUGAGUUGACUAUUCUACCCUUCCAAGUUGAUGGAAAGUGCACUUGGCAACACCAUCAAAUCAAGUACAAUAAGAAGCCCAAGAUUGAGUUUUGGGUCUGAUUGAGGCUGAAAAGGAACAAAGUGUAUGAUGUUAACAUAUACAAAAUAAGUUACCAAGGUUGAGUGAUAUAAUCUCGAAAGUGUAUUACGAAAAUCUGAAAUUAACCUAAUUCAUUCUACAAGUUAAAAAUAAAUUUCCACUAGUUUGUAAUAGUCAAAGAGAUGUGAAAAAAACCUUCUCUUAUGAAAAAUCAUUGAACUUAAUGUAAGUAUGCUUACAAAUAUGAUGCAAUUUAUUUUAAAUUUGAAAAGUCACUAGCUAUACAUCAAAAUUACCAAUUUUGUUAGGGNNNNNNNNNNNNNNNNNNNNNNNNNNNNNNNNNNNNNNNNNNNNNNNNNNNNNNNNNNNNNNNNNNNNNNNNNNNNNNNNNNNNNNNNNNNNNNNNNNNNNNNNNNNNNNNNNNNNNNNNNNNNNNNNNNNNNNNNNNGAUCUAUAAAAGUUGCUGCUGACCAAUAAAUUGUCAUGAAAACUUAUUAGUCAUGGAAAAAAAUUGUACUCAAUUGUUACUUCUCAUUUAUUGGAGAAUGUAUUGUUAUGGAAUUCAUUAGUUACACCAAAAAAAAAAAAAUCAUUAAUAACUAUAGACAGAUGCCUAAAUGCUUACUUUCUUAAUGUGAAUAUAUUUAAUUAUAUAUAUAGAUUCCGUAGGUUCGCACGUUGUUUCUCUUCUUGCAGACUGAAACGGACGGCGAUGAGUCGAUGACUCAAUUCGGUAAGCGUCCAGAAGGCAGAGUCCCCUCUGACAUGUCCUUUUCGUUCCUCCCCCACCGUCCCCUCCGUCGCCGCCUCGUGCGAGUGGACCGUGAGAGUUGGGGCUGUAGCCAUGUGAUCUCAGUGGAGACGUCUGUAGCCAUGUGAUCUCAGUGGAGACGACUGGACCCACCCACUCAAUGGUCAUCACUGAAGAUGCCAUGUCCGUUCGUCCUCUUCAUCCUCCGCCUCUCGCGCACGGCUUGACGGGUGCAGUGGCGGCUGGAAGUUGGCGUGGGAUUGGCUUUCGUGACUUUAGUCGUCCGCAGCGUCCGAGACGAGGAACCGGUGGAGAAAGAUUAGGGUUUCGGUGCUUGCCGUUUUAGCUUUAGGGGGAAGUUAGAGGUUUUUCUUGUGGUUCACGAAGAAGAAAGAUAAUUUUGGGCUAAUGCGGUUCAGGCAUUAGAUGGCAGAAGUAAUUUCUUUUGCCUUUAAAUAGGGAUGCUUAAUAGAAAUAACUAGCCCAGGACAUAGUUCAGGGAAAUUAUGAUUGACUGAGGAUGUUAACUUUGAUACAAAGUAAUAAAUGUGGUUGCUCCAGAUU